AGCGAACGCUGGCGGCAGGCUUAACACAUGCAAGUCGAACGCCCCGCAAGGGGAGUGGCAGACGGGUGAGUAACACGUGGGAACGUACCCUUUGGUUCGGAAUCACUUGGGGAAACUCAAGCUAAUACCGGAUUAGCCCUUAUGGGGGAAGGUUUACUGCCGAAGGAUCGGCCCGCGUCUGAUUAGCUAGUUGGUGAGGUAAUGGCUCACCAAGGCGACGACCAGUAGCUGGUCUGAGAGGAUGAUCAGCCACACUGGGGCUGAGACACGGCCCAGACUCCUACGGGGGGCAGCAGUGGGGAAUAUGGGACGCUGGGGGCCACCCUGAUCCAGCCAUGCCGCGUGAGUGAUGAAGGCCUUAGGGUUGUAAAGCUCUUUUACGCGGGACGAUAAUGACUGUACCGGGAGAAUAAGCCCCGGCUAACUUCGUGCCAGCCGCCGCAGUAA
rnacentral:rRNA from 1 species